AACCAGCAGUCCGCAGAGUUGAGAGCAGUUCUUAUUGGAAGGCAACACUGUGGGAAAACAUCGGUGAUCAACACUAUAUUGGAAACCAGAACAGAAGCUGAAGGAGAUGAGGAUGUGAAGAGAGAGGGAUUUAUUGAUGGCAGGAGAGUCAGUCUUGUUGAAACUCCUGGCUGGUGGAAAACCUUCAGUCUGAGUGAUUUAUCCAACCUCUCCAAACAGCAGCUGGUUCGCAGGAUUUCUCUGAUUUCACCUGGACCUCAUGCGGUUCUGAUCGUGAUUCGGGCCGAUUCUGCAUUUACUGACCCCGAUGGGAGGUUUCUGGACGUGUUCUACGAAUGUAGCAAGGCAAGACUCAUGCUCUCGCAAUGAGGCAAGUCCAUCUCUCUGCAUUCACUAGCCGCUUUUCCACUGUUUCCAUAAUUUUAGCUCAAAACUCACUUUACGACAGCAGCAAGUGUUUGAAAUAACUUCUGUUAAAGAUCUGAUGUGGAUUAUGAUCACAAUACAAGGCAGAAAUACUUAUAAGUGAUGCAAAGGACUAUGCACGCUAGUCAUUGCUAUGGUAACCAUGGAAAAUAGCCUAUAAGAGUUUUUCCCUAGCAUGGUAAAUGCAAACAAAAAUGUGAGAGACCAUUUUGAAAGGGAAAUUUUAACAGUUGAGCUUGUGACUUUUGCAGUGUCUUGCCCACAGUGCUCUACAAAUGUGACAAGUUCAACUUUUAAGAACGCAUCUUGAGACUUUGUUUUUCC
ensembl:lncRNA